UAGGAAACGAAUGUUUUCAAUUUCCC
rnacentral:piRNA from 1 species